rnacentral:rRNA from 1 species
GACGAACGCUGGCGGCGUGCUUAACACAUGCAAGUCGAGCGGUAAGGCCCUUCGGGUACGACGAGCGGCGAACGGGUGAGUAACACGUGGGUGACCUGCCUCUAGCUCUGGGAUAAGCCUGGGAAACUGGGUCUAAUACCGGAUAUGACUCCACGGCGCAUGUUGUGGGGUGGAAAGCCUUGUGUGGCUAGAGAUGGGCCCGCGGCCUAUCAGCUUGUUGGUGGGGUGAUGGCCACCAAGGCGACGAC